GACGAACGCUGGCGGCGUGCUUAACACAUGCAAGUCGAACGGAAAGGCCCUGCUUUUGUGGGGUGCUCGAGUGGCGAACGGGUGAGUAACACGUGAGUAACCUGCCCUUGACUUUGGGAUAACUUCAGGAAACUGGGGCUAAUACCGGAUAGGAGCUCCUGCUGCAUGGUGGGGGUUGGAAAGUUUCGGCGGUUGGGGAUGGACUCGCGGCUUAUCAGCUUGUUGGUGGGGUAGUGGCUUACCAAGGCUUUGACGGGUAGCCGGCCUGCGAGGGUGACCGGCCACAUGGGGACUGAGAUACGGCCCAGACUCCUACGGGAGGCAGCAGUGGGGAAUAUUGCACAAUGGGCGGAAGCCUGAUGCAGCAACGCCGCGUGCGGGAUGACGGCCUUCGGGUUGUAAACCGCUUUCGCCUGUGACGAAGCGUGAGUGACGGUAAUGGGUAAAGAAGCACCGGCUAACUACGU
rnacentral:rRNA from 1 species